GGCGGCGUAGCCAAGUGGUCUAAGGCAGCAGUCUGCAAAACUGCGAUUCGGCGGUUCGAAUCCGCCCGCCGCCUCCA
rnacentral:tRNA from 2 species